UACGGGGGGAGCAAGCGUUGUUCGGAUUUACUGGGCGUAAAGGGCGCGUAGGCGGUCGUGACAAGUCACUUGUGAAAUCUCCGGGCUUAACUCGGAACGGUCAAGUGAUACUGUCGGACUAGAGUACAGAAGGGGCAACUGGAAUUCUCGGUGUAGCGGUGAAAUGCGUAGAUAGCGAGAGGAACACCUGCGGCGAAGGCGGGUUGCUGGGCUGAUACUGACGCUGAGGCGCGAAAGCCAGGGGAGCGAACGGG
rnacentral:rRNA from 1 species